rnacentral:rRNA from 1 species
UGGGGAAUCUUGCGCAAUGGGCGAAAGCCUGACGCAGCGACGCCGCGUGCGGGAAGAAGGCCUUCGGGUUGUAAACCGCUUUCAGGAGGGACGAAGCCACUCGGGUUAAUAGCCCAGAGGGUGACGGUACCUCCAGAAGAAGCCCCGGCUAACUACGUGCCAGCAGCCGCGGUAAUACGUAGGGGGCAAGCGUUGUCCGGAUUUAUUGGGCGUAAAGCGCGUGUAGGCGGCCAUGCAGGUCCGCUGUGAAAACUCGAGGCUCAACCUCGAGAGGUCGGUGGAAACCGCAUGGCUAGAGUCCGGAAGAGGGGACUGGAAUUCCCGGUGUAGCGGUGGAAUGCGCAGAUAUCGGGAGGAACACCCGUGGCGAAGGCGGGUCCCUGGGACGGUACUGACGCUGAGACGCGAAAGCGUGGGGAGCGAACAGGAUUAGAUACCCUGGUAGUCCACGCCGUAAACGAUGGGCACUAGGUGUGGGAGGUGUCGACUCCUUCCGUGCCGAAGCUAACGCAUUAAGUGCCCCG